rnacentral:misc_RNA from 1 species
GGCUUAUGACCACAAAUCAAGGCUAGACGGCUCUAGCUAGCUGGGCCUAGACUCCUUGCUAUGCUUAGGCCUACUCCUCAGUCUGGGCCUAGGCCUAAGUUCUUGUUGGCCUGUUAUAGAAGGUGAUAAUGUUACGGGCCCAAGUAAUGAUGUCAGAAGUGAUACCGCUGCAUUCUUCGGAGGGCCAAAGACUCCGAACAGAGACAUCUCAAAAGGCCUUGCACUAUCAACCAAUACUGUACAAAAUUUUCCAAAAACAGUUCAACUCAACGUAUUGUGGACUGGUCAGUAGCAUAAUGGCAAUGAAUGCUAACUUUAUUGGCCAACAUGGUCACUUUCAAGAUGGCAGCCCUCAUGUCCCGUUCACUGAAGCAAAUAUCUUUACAUUCAAGGAGACACAAAACAUUCUUAAACAGUCUGAGGUUGAAAAAGAAGGUUGCACUCUGGAGCAGGUUCACGACUUAAUAAGAGCUCAUGGCUACAAUUCCGUUUUAUAUCAUGCCGCUGACAGCUCUUUGGAGGAGUUCUGUGCCAAAGCUAAAUGUGCACUCAACCAGAACUCACUCACUUCAGUUAUUAUUAAUUAUGACUUGAAAGUUAUUUAUCCGCAUCAGAACGUUGGUGGUCAUUUCAGUCCUUUGUGUGCGUACCAUGAAGAAAGUGAUCGCUUUCUCAUCCUUGAUACUUGGCCGAAAACUGAGGAAUGUUGGGUAAAAUCUGACCAUUUAUUUAACUCUAUGAACACUGUUGAUCCAUCAGUUUCAAAGACUCGAGGCUACAUCAUUGUCUCCAAAUAAUGAAGCUUAAUACUGUCAUAAUCAACACCGUAUACUGACAUGUAUUUAUGAACUUGGCAAGACACCAAUUUGUUUACAAUUCCAAGUUAUGAAACUCUGUAUGCUGCAUAGGCCAAGUAUUGUACAGACAUUAUCAGGCUUAGAGAGUGGAGUUUUUAGCUGUGAUAAAAAACCUCUCACUGACAGGAAUCAAACUCAGGACUCAGAGAUGAGCUUCUUCUACCGGGUAGCUCAGACACGAAGAUUAGGGGAGAAGAAAGUUACUGUGUACUAUGUAAUUCUAUACCAAGCUAUAGCUCCUUUCAUCAUUGUUCUGCUUUUAGGCUGUUUCUUGGUUAAGUUUGAUAUUUAUUAAUUACUGUAUUAGUAUUUAUAUAUUUCAAAUUUUUUACCAUUUCAAAAUUCUGAUGUAUAUACAUAUAUUGUGAGAAUUUUCUGUCUGAACUGUUGAAUCAGUGACUUCCCUAUUAUACUAUGGAACAAAUUACCAUUUUUCUUUGGUACGAUGUUAUUUAUGCAAUAUCGGUGCAAUAUACAGUACAAAGGAGCAUUGGCUGCAUAGACAUCUGUAAUUUUAAACAACUCAAUAUCGUAACCGUACCGUGUAAUAUAACUAGUACAUAUGCAAAAUGUAUGUUGUAUGUGUAUUAGUAUAUCAAUGCAGAUCUGUAAGAUAGCAAUUUAAUUGACAUUUGCAUUAUAAGUUCAUGAUACAAAAAACAUAACACAAAAUUGACUAAUAAGGUUGAAAGGUAUUGGCAAUAGGAAUACUGUAGAUAUUUAUUUUAUUCUCAUUCAACAAUGAGUGACUGUAUGAGCCAUGAGUAAAAGGCCUGGUGCAAUGCAGGAUUUGAACCCAAGCCCCUGGAUGGAAAGGCAGGUGUCUUAAACCACCAGGGCUACAGCACCAUAAUAUAUGGAAAAAUUACAGCACAGUAUUGUGCGUGAACACAAAUGAAUAACAGAAACAUUAACAUCAAAUAAAACAUUUAUUUUGUGACAUUAA